GAUGAACGCUGGCGGCGUGCGUAAUACAUGCAAGUCGAACGGAGUGCUAGCAAUAGUACUUAGUGGCGAACGGGUGAGUAACGCGUUGGUGACCUGCCCCGAAGAGUGGGAUAACAGUUCGAAAGGACUGCUAAUACCGCAUGAUCUCUUCUUCGUUAGCGAGGGAAGAGGAAAGGAGCAAUCCGCUUUGGGAGGGGCCUGCGUCCCAUCAGCUAGUUGGUAGGGUAAAAGCUUACCAAGGCGACGACGGGUAGGGGACCUGAGAGGGUGGCCCCCCACAAUGGAACUGAAACACGGUCCAUACACCUACGGGUGGCAGCAGUAGGGAAUAUUGGUUAAUCUGCGAAAGCGGGAACCAGCAACGCCGCGUGCGCGAUGAAGGCCUUCGGGUUGUAAAGCGCUUUUUAAGAGGAUGAGGAAGGACAGUACUUUUAGAAUAAGCCUCGGCUAACUACGUGCCAGCCGCCGCUGUAACAC
rnacentral:rRNA from 1 species